UACGUAGGGUGCGAGCGUUAAUCGGAAUUACUGGGCGUAAAGCGUGCGCAGGCGGUGAUGUAAGACCGAUGUGAAAUCCCCGGGCUUAACCUGGGAAUGGCGAUGGAGACUGCAAGGCUGGAAUCUGGCAGAGGGGGGUAGAAUUCCACGUGUAGCAGUGAAAUGCGUAGAGAUGUGGAGGAACACCGAUGGCGAAGGCAGCCCCCUGGGCUAAGAUUGACGCUCAUGCACGAAAGCGUGGGGAGCAAACAGG
rnacentral:rRNA from 1 species